rnacentral:rRNA from 1 species
GACGAACGCUGGCGGCGUGCUUAACACAUGCAAGUCGAACGGAAAGGCCCCUUUGGGGGUACUCGAGUGGCGAACGGGUGAGUAACACGUGAGUAACCUUCCCUUGACUUCGGGAUAACUUCAGGAAACUGGGGCUAAUACCGGAUAGGAAUCCUUGCUGCAUGGUGGGGGUUGGAAAGCUUCGGCGGUUUUGGCUGGACUCGCGGCUUAUCAGCUUGUUGGUGGGGUAGUGGCUUACCAAGGCUUUGACGGGUAGCCGGCCUGAGUGGGCGACCGGCCACAUUGGGACUGAGAUACGGCCCAGACUCCUACGGGAGGCAGCAGUGGGGAAGAUUGCACAAGGGGCGGAAGCCUGAUGCAGCAACGCCGCGGGCGGGAUGACGGCCUUCGGGUUGUAAACCGCAUUCAGCAGGGGCGAAGCUUGUGGUGACGGUACCUGCAGAAGAAGCACCGGCUAACUACGUG